UGGGGAAUAUUGCGCAAUGGGGGAAACCCUGACGCAGCAAUACCGCGUGAGUGAGGAAGGCCUUCGGGUUGUAAAGCUCUGUCAAUGUGGAAAAACGGCAUUUGGUCUAAUAGGCCUUGUGUUUGAUGGUACACAUAAAGGAAGCACCGGCUAACUUCGUGCCAGCAGCCGCGGUAAUACGAAGGGUGCAAGCGUUGUUCGGAUUUAUUGGGCGUAAAGCGCGCGCAGGCGGAUUGAUUAGUCAGAUGUGAAAUCUCGGGGCUCAACCCCGAAACUGCGUCUGAAACUGUUAGUCUAGAGUCUCGGAGAGGGAAGGGGAAUUUCGCAUGUAGGGGUAAAAUCCGUAGAGAUGCGAAGGAACACCAGAGGCGAAGGCGCCUUCCUGGACGAGUACUGACGCUGAGGCGCGAAAGCGUGGGGAGCAAACAGG
rnacentral:rRNA from 1 species